AACGUAGGACGCAAGCGUUAUCCGGAGUUACUGGGCGUAAAGCGCGGGCAGGCGGCUCGAAACGUCUGAUGUGAAAUCUCCUCGCUCAACGGGGAGAGGCCAUUGGAAACGGUCGAGCUGGAGGGCAGUAGAGGUAGGCGGAAUUCCGGGUGGAGUGGUGAAAUGCGUAGAGAUCCGGAGGAACACCAGAGGCGAAGGCGGCCUACUGGGCUGCACCUGACGCUGAGCCGCGAAAGCCAGGGGAGCGAACGGG
rnacentral:rRNA from 1 species